CCUACGGGAGGCAGCAGUAGGGAAUAUUGCUCAAUGGGGGAAACCCUGAAGCAGCAACGCCGCGUGGAGGAUGAAGGUUUUCGGAUUGUAAACUCCUUUUGUUAGAGAAGAUAAUGACGGUAUCUAACGAAUAAGCACCGGCUAACUCCGUGCAAGCAGCCGCGGUAAUACGGAGGGUGCAAGCGUUCCUCGGAAUCACUGGGCGUAAAGCGCGCGUAGGCGGGAUAGCAAGUCAGAUGUGAAAUACUAUGGCUUAACCAUAGAACUGCAUUUGAAACUGUUAUUCUAGAGUAUGGGAGAGGUAGGUGGAAUGCUUGGUGUAGGGGUAAAAUCCGUAGAGAUCAAGAAGAAUACUCAUUGCGAAGGCGACCUGCUAGAACAUAACUGACGCUGAUGCGCGAAAGCGUGGGGAGCAAACAGGAUUAGAUACCCCAGUAGUC
rnacentral:rRNA from 1 species